UACGUAGGCAGCAAGCGUUGUUCGGAGUUACUGGGCGUAAAGAGCUCGUAGGCGGUGUGUCACGUCGGCCGUGAAAACCUGGGGCUCAACUCUGGGCGUGCGGUCGAUACGGGCAUCACUUGAGUUCGGCAGGGGAGACUGGAAUUCCUGGUGUAGCGGUGAAAUGCGCAGAUAUCAGGAGGAACACCGGUGGCGAAGGCGGGUCUCUGGGCCGAUACUGACGCUGAGGAGCGAAAGCAUGGGUAGCGAACAGG
rnacentral:rRNA from 1 species